AUGCCUUACGAUGAGCGGUACACACCGUACAUCAAGCAGGCAGGACUACUCCCGUGGAUUCUGUUGGUCAGCCGGUCCACGCCGAAUCUGAACGCUCCACUGGUGUCCGCUCUUGUUGAUCGGUGGAGGCCAGAGACCCACAGUUUCCAUCUUCGGACCGGGGAGAUGACCGUGACGCUCGAGGAUGUCUCGUUGAUCACCGGUCUUGCUAUCGACGGGAGGCCUCUAUGUAUGAGCACCGAUUCUGAUGGGUGGCGCGAGCAGAUGAUUGCUCUUAUCGGUAUGGCUCCUACCGAGGCUGAGGAUGAUGUAGAGGAGGGAGAAGAGAAGAAGAAGAGGGAAAGGAAGGCAGCCGGAGCUGCUUUCACGUGGAUUCAAAAUAACUUUGCGACGUGCCCUCCGGAUGCAACUGAUGAUGUGAUCCAGACACAUGCUCGUGUGUAUAUGUGGUACAUUGUGUCGAGGACUUUGUUUCCUGACUCCACUGGUAAGAACGCUCCAUGGAUGUGGCUGAAGGCGUUGACCGUCUUCGAUAGCAAAUGGAGCUAG
rnacentral:rRNA from 1 species